GCGCGUGUGAAACCGAUUCACUACUACAACAGAAUUUGCGACAAGAACUGGAUCUGGUAAAAGAUCAACUACAGAAACAAAUUGAACAAUCCACUCACUUGCAGAAUAAUUCGCUGGAAUUGAAAGAGAAGGUAGCAGAAGUUCAACUACAUAAGUCUGAACAAAAUGACACUUUGAAAAUUGUGUCACAACAAGUAGAAGACGUGAGACAGGAGCUACAAACACAGAACAGACAUAUCGUUGUCUUGCAAAUUGUUUCGCUAGAACUGCAGACAAACGUUGAGAAACUCCAAGAAAGCAAUUCUAGUCUGACGGCAGCAGUUACUCAACUUGGAAACGAUUUAUCAGAUAUUGUAAACGAAAAGUACGAAGUAGGUUCGCUUUGUUGCUCUCUCACAUGCUCCAAUGGCA